UUUCUCUUGGAUUCGUUGACGGGUGAGCCGUCGGCACGAACUGGAGGAGCAGUUGGUACUGCCUUCUGUACGCGGCGUCCCGGGAGCCGAGGCAGCGGAGCACACAGGGCAAGCGGAGCGAGGCGAGGAUCCUUUUCUUUGGCGGAAGCUGCGUCUGGACAGAGGCAGCGGCCGUCAACUUCGGCGCAGGCAACGAUUGCUGGUCCUUGCCGUUGUCCGCCGUGAAGGGAUUAAUGGUCUGGUUCCCUCCCAAGAAAGGAGCUGCAGUUUGUCUAUCUAAGAAAAGAGGACCAGCAAUCUGUCUAUUAGGACUAAUGCACAAAAAUGGCGAACAAAACACAGAAGAUAGUGGCCUGCCAAUAAUCUCCUUCCCAUGUUAGUAAAGAAGGCAAACAGCUCCACUUCACCACAA